rnacentral:snRNA from 20 species
AUACUUACCUUGUUCCGGAUUCCCCAGCUCAAGAAUUGGGGGCUCCAGUGUGGAAGGCCUGCAUUGCACAGCGCGGUGUCGCUCCACACUCCAUUGUCCUUCGGGGCCAUGGGGGGCGUAAUUUUUGAUUUACUCCUCGUUUUCAUUGUGGUGC